ensembl:lncRNA
UUUUCAUUGAAGUGGAAAUACUGGACUGGGCUGGCUCCACGUUCACACGCUCAAGAAUCGAGUCUGACAGGUCCACCUCGUCUCCCAACCUACGGGACUGGGCCCGUGUAAGCACACAAGCUGGGAACACAUGAGGGCGAGCCAGCCGGUACUCGAGCCUAGCCGCAGCACUUCUGGACCCAACAGAGGAACGAGGCGAAAGGUCGGCCCUAGACUCUUCACCUGAGGCCUCACUGCCCUCGUCCAUCCCCUCACAAACCCCCUGGUGAACCAACCCUUUUUUUAUCAACUCUAACAUCUCUGCCUUGAGGGCCUGCCUUGGGACGGAGAUUUUAUAAUGAUCGGCGACGGCGAAUAACUCUGACCUGCGCAUCCCUCCCAGCUGGUCAAGGGAUGGACCUGCUAGAAAAACAGCCAGUGCUGGAGCAGCCAUUCUAGUAGGUACACACGCCACCACCACUACUACAAACCAAACUAGCAACUUGUUGCUGAAAUCACCCUACAACACCACACCUUCGCACCAGCACCCACCAGGACCUUGUGCUCACAGGGAAGUCGGGAGAUUGACGAUCCCGGACGAGCCCCCACUUGUUACGUCUCCCUUAGUCUAGGUGUAAGGGAGCGCAACCCCUGCAAACAUGAGCCCUGAUGAACGCGGCGACCAGAGGUAUGGGGUCGUGGUGUGAGUGACGACUACUGGCACAGGCAAAUGGUGUAAACAAAAAUAGGAGGUUUAUUCUCUCCUUAAAAGGAAAAACAAAACAAAUGUUCAGGGGAAAAGGGGCUGGGCGAGACCAAAGCAAAGAAACAAGCAAAAAGGGUGGACACUUCCCUAACUGACCUAAUUUCCCCCCCCCCUUUACUCUACCUCGGGCACGGAUGAGGCCCGCUAACCAAAAGUACAGGGAGUGGUCCGCCCAGGUCUUGCCUAGUGUAUCUAGACAGGCAGUCAGCUACGGGUGGUGUAUACCCAUGGGUCUCUUCCCUAACAAUAUUCCCUUCCCCCCCCCUGCAACACAGGAAGAAAAAAAUGUUUAACUCAAAUAAUAAACAGUAUACAAAACAAAUAUCACAUACACACUAACCCAUAGAGCCCACGCUCUGGGACUACCUUUUAGCAACCAAACUCUCUCUCUCUCUCUCUGAACAAGAUACUCACAAACCCCAACGACGGAAAAUAAACACAGAACCAUGAGAGGACAUCAGCGAGCCACCAGAAGCGCUCUGCCAUCAGAUCUGCAGAACCCCUCUCUCCCCCCCUAAAGAUCUACAAUGACAGGUCUUUAUAGACCUGCACCAGCUGCAUCCAAUAAUGAAGGGGAGGAGUCCAGGUUGGUCGAAUCCAAUCGGCUACACCUUGGGUGAAGGGUAGCCAUCUUCCCUGCAGAUUUCCUGUACAUGGAGAGAUAAGACACAAACCAACACAAACACCCCCAAAACGUAACA